UAUUGUACUGAUUUGCUCAGAAGAAGAUAAGAAAUAUUCCCUAUCUUAAUUUACCCUAGCUAGCUUCUUCUUCUUAUUUCAUUUUUAGCCUUAUUUCUUCUUCUUUUUCUUAGUUGUUUUUGUGCACUGCUAUCAAAUUCAUUGUUGUCGUCAAUAUUUUUCUCAACUGUCUCUUCAAUGUUCUUCGGGUUUCAUUUUCGUCCUUACUCAAUCUCUUUUGCAUGAUUUCUCUUUUGACAUUAAUUUAUUUCUUAUAUUUAUUUUAAAUUUUUUGGAUCCCAAAAUUAAUUUUUAAUGAGAUAGGUAGCUAAAUCGUCCUGGAAUUUGAUAGAAUUUAGUUCAUCAUGAAAUAUUUUCAUCUCUCAUGGCCAAGAGAUACUUACAAAUUAAUACAAGUAUAUAUCCACCUUAUACAAAAUUCUUGUAACUUUUAUUUUUUGUUCUUACAUUGGAUUAUAGGGAUUAGGUACUUUAUCCCAAAGCAUUGCCCAAGGUGUAACUAUAGAAAAUAUUGUAGACAGCUUGAGUAACUUCAAAGGAAAAUUCGACUUGAUUUGGCAUUAAUCUCAUGUUCCACAUCUGCUAAAUUCGACUUCCAUGUCCAUUAGAGUUGUUACAGAUUGUGUUCGAGAUUUCAUUAGCUUUCGAAGAUCUCCCGGUGUCCAUUCCAAAACUUCUGUUAAAUUUCAUUCAACAACAGAGGUUGUAUCUUGGUUGUAUUGUAUUUCAAAAUGAAUGAGUUGUAAAUCUUAGAAGCUCUUGUACUAGUCUAGACCCGGUUUUGGGAAUGGUUAUUGUAUAAGUACUCUUAUUGUUCAUUUCUUCUAUAACGAUGAUUGGGAAUUAGCCAAGUGUGA